UGUAUUAUAGUAUAUUUAAGUACCUAGAAAUUUGAAUUCUAUAGAAUAAAUACAA
rnacentral:tRNA from 1 species